UGGCACCGCAGACGGAUUCCCCUUGGUUGGAGGGACAGGGUGACAAGCCUGAGGUGGCCUGCUGCAGAUUUGCAGAUCAUGUGGCUCUCAGGACUGGGGAGUAAGCCAAGUCUCCAAUUUACAGCUAUCUGCAGAUGCUAAGGAGCCUAGAUGUUUCAGGUGAGGGCCAUGAAGAAUGAGAUCAUUAUCAUAAUUUUGCUACUUCUUUAGCACGUGCCUCAGUAUGUGACUGGUGAUUUUUACAUGACAGAUUGACAAAUGAACACAUUCUCCAGCACACGGGUGAACAAACAUUCCUUGUCUCUUGACUGUCUCCUGCUCCUGAGUUUGCCCUGGCAAUUUCCCACUAGAGGGCUCUUCUGCACCUGCCGUCCUAAGGCACCUGCCAAUCUUCUCUCUGAGAGGCAGGCCUGGGAAGGAUUGCUAACUUCUGCUAAAAGAAAAAAAGAAAAAAAAAAAAAGAAAAAAAAAA
rnacentral:sRNA from 1 species